UACAGAGGUCUCAAGCGUUGUUCGGAUUCAUUGGGCGUAAAGAGCGUGUAGGCGGCCUGACAGGUCUGCUGUGAAAACUCGAGGCUCAACCUCGAGAUGUCGGCGGAAACCGUCUGGCUAGAGUCCGGAAGAGGAGAGUGGAAUUCCUGGUGUAGCGGUGAAAUGCGUAGAUAUCAGGAGGAACACCGGUGGUGUAGACGGCUUCUGGACCGACACUGACGCUGAGACACGAAAGCGUGGGUAGCAAACAGG
rnacentral:rRNA from 1 species